GACGUAGGGCGCGAGCGUUGUCCGGAUUUAUUGGGCGUAAAGCGCGUGCAGGCGGCCAGGUAGGUCCGUUGUGAAAACUGGAGGCUUAACCUCCAGCUGUCGAUGGAAACCAUCUGGCUAGAGUCCGGAAGAGGAGAGUGGAAUUCCUGGUGUAGCGGUGAAAUGCGCAGAUAUCAGGAAGAACACCCGUGGCGAAGGCGGCUCUCUGGGACGGUACUGACGCUGAGACGCGAAAGCGUGGGGAGCGAACAGG
rnacentral:rRNA from 1 species